GCCAUGCUAGUUGUGCGAGGUUUAGACCCGCAGCGGAAAGCUCAGUAACACGUGGCCAAGCUACCCUGUGGACGGGAAUACUCUCGGGAAACUGAGGCUAAUCCCCGAUAACGCUUUGCUCCUGGAAGGGGCAAAGCCGGAAACGCUCCGGCGCCACAGGAUGCGGCUGCGGUCGAUUAGGUAGACGGUGGGGUAACGGCCCACCGUGCCCAUAAUCGGUACGGGUUGUGAGAGCAAGAGCCCGGAGACGGAAUCUGAGACAAGAUUCCGGGCCCUACGGGGCGCAGCAGGCGCGAAACCUUUACACUGUACGAAAGUGCGAUAAGGGGACUCCGAGUGUGAAGGCAUAUAGCCUUCACUUUUGUACACCGUAAGGUGGUGUACGAAUAAGGACUGGGCAAGACCGGUGCCAGCCGCCGCGGUAAUACCGGCAGUUCGAGUGAUGGCCGAUAUUAUUGGGCCUAAAGCGUCCGUAGCUGGCUGAACAAGUCCGUUGGGAAAUCUGUCCGCUUAACGGGCAGGCGUCCAGCGGAAACUGUUCAGCUUGGGACCGGAAGACCUGAGGGGUACGUCUGGGGUAGGAGUGAAAUCCUGUAAUCCUGGACGGACCGCCGGUGGCGAAAGCGCCUCAGGAGAACGGAUCCGACAGUGAGGGACGAAAGCUAGGGUCUCGAACCGGAUUAGAUACCCGGGUAGUCCUAGCUGUAAACGAUGUCCGCUAGGUGUGGCGCAGGCUACGAGCCUGCGCUGUGCCGUAGGGAAGCCGAGAAGCGGACCGCCUGGGAAGUACGUCUGCAAGGAUGAAACUAAAGGAAUGGCG
rnacentral:rRNA from 1 species